GACGAACGCUGGCGGCGUGCUUAACACAUGCAAGUCGAACGGUGAAGCGCCUUCCUUUUUGGUGGGUGUGGAUGAGUGGCGAACGGGUGAGUAACACGUGAGUAACCUGCCCCCUUCUUCUGGAUAACCGCAUGAAAGUGUGGCUAAUACGGGAUAUUCUGGGUCUGUCGCAUGAUGGGUCUGGGAAAGAUAUUGUUUCGGUGGGGGAUGGGCUCGCGGCCUAUCAGCUUGUUGGUGGGGUGAUGGCCUACCAAGGCGGUGACGGGUAGCCGGCCUGAGAGGGUGGACGGUCGCACGGGGACUGAGACACGGCCCAGACGCGUACGGGAGGCGGCAGUGGGGAAUAGUGCACAAUGGGCGCAAGCCUGAUGCAGCGACGCCGCGUGAGGGAUGGAGGCCUUCGGGUUGUGAACCUCUUUCGCCAGUGAAGCAGGCCUGCCUCGUUUGUGGGUGGGUUGACGGUAGCUGGAUAAGAAGCGCCGGCUAACUACGUG
rnacentral:rRNA from 1 species